rnacentral:lncRNA from 1 species
AGCAUUUGGUGGUGUUCAGAGGAGGAGAGAAAGAGAUGAAGAGGAGUGAGCCAGGUUUCAGGAGGGGGCACGCAGGAGACCAGCCCUGGAUUCAGACUUGAGCCUGGUCCACACCAGAGGCCGAUAGAAGGCUUGGAUUACAGCAGGGGCAGGUUCUUUCACGAAAUCAAAUUUCUCCACUGAUUUCUGAAUUCAUAGCAAGCUAACUAGAAGAGAUUUUUAAUUCAGAAUGCUGCACUCCAAAAAACUGAGAAAGACAUUGAGGGAGGGAAUAUGGAAAUUUGAUGGUAUCUCGGCUAAGUUUGAUAUUGAGAUUUUUGUAAUAAAUGUUGUUGAAUAAAAAAGGCAUCAAGAUGCCUAAAUCAGAGAGAUAAAAUGAAGAAUAAUUACAGUAUACAAUUUUUGAAUUAUUGUCCAAUCAACUAAAAUUAGAAGUUUUUAACAUGCUAAAAUGGAAAGUUAUUCAACAGAAUGGAAUCCUUUAAAAUAUGAUGGAACUGCCACUUAAGCAUCAGAAGUCUGCUCAGGUGUGACCCUGGGAGCCCAAACUUUUCACGGAACAGCAAGGAACAUCCCUGUGCUCCUCCUUCCCAGUCUCUUUUUUUUUCAGAGGGAGUCUCGCUCUGUUGCCCAGGCUGGAGUGCAGUGGCGAGAUCUCAGCUCACUGCAAGCUCCGUCUCCCGGGUUCACGCCAUUCUCCUGCCUCAGCCUGCCGAGUAGCUGGGACAACAGGCGCCAGCCACCAUGCCCAGGCAUACAAAACCUGCCUUGCCUCUCCCCAGUUUGAACAGUGCUUUUGAACUUUGAUGGAAAAGCCACAUUUGGAAGGUCAUACCACCCUUGACAAACUGCAGUCCCUACUGGCCAUUACACUGCAGAGCCGUGACAAUGAUGGAUCUCCUGUUUGGAAGAGAAUGACCCAGGACAAAAGGGGUGACCAAACCAUGGUCUAAGUGUGAUAUCUGAAGCUGCUUAAUCUGCAAAAGGAAACCCAGUGUGAGGAAUGGGAGAUGGAGAUGUGGAGGCCUAGUGUCUAAGGGCUGGCAUUCAGGGGAAGAAUUACAUUUGUCUGUAAUCUCAAAGGCUAGGAAGGAUGGAGCUGGGUGGAUUUGGGAUCACCAUGAAAAGGACCUAUGAGUAAGUCAGGCCUGCGUAGAGGUGAUCUGGAAGCCCCCAGCUGCACCCUCAAUUGGAAAGGGGCUGUGGAGGGGUCUUGAACAUGACUUAGCAAAUGGAGCUAGAUUCCUUCAAUGCUCCAUCCAGCCAUAAAUCAAUGAAAUAGCUCCCUCCUUCUUUUUCUCUGCCUUCCAAACUGAACUACUGUAUCUCUUGCAAAACCAAUUGGAUAAUUCUGUGUUAAGCUUCCUGUCUCCCACCCUGAGCAACCACAGAUGAAUGAUGGUUGUUGCAGAGAUGGGCAAGUCUGGCUUCUGAGAGCUGCCAUUGAACUUCUCUGUGCUGAGCUGGCAUUAGCUCCUCUCCUCUCCCCUCCCCACCCUGCUUAGAGAAUCCUCUCCACAUUUGGAGGUUUGUGUCACCCUUCUACGUGACCAGGGCUUCUGUCCCAUGAGAAGAGAAGGGACAGGAGGACUCUGUCUGAAAGUUCUGAGUUGUAGAUUUGCCCAUGGGCCAGACAUCAGGCUCUGUCCAUGAGGUGACCCAAGUCACCAGAGGAAAAGUGUCUGUCCCCAAUCUCCACAUUAAAUUUGCCUUGGGCCUCAACCAAACUCAAUGUUUUUUCCUCCUAGAACAGUGAGGAUAGAGACCCAGUUAAAAAAAAAUCCCACAAGUCUUUCUGGAGUCUGGGGUGUGCUGGACAGGGUGUGAGGAACUGGGGACCUGGGUUCUGGUUAGUUCUCUGUCCCUUACUAUGAGACCCUGCACAAGUCACCUGGGGAACUCGGUCCUUACACUGGACAGUGACACAAUGGGAAACAGAGGACCACCAGGACACAUUUUAGCCAUGGCCUAUAAUUAACAUCUCUAUGAUGUGACUUCACAGGCACAGAUCAUCUUGCAUCCUCACCCCUGACACACACACACACACACACACACACACACACACACACACACACACGCAUGCAGUACAGUAACUGUCAAUCUCAGGUCCAAGAUACCCCAGCGCAUCUCUAUUCAUCUCAAGGGAUAUUGAUAUCAUUUCAUAAGAAGGAAUUAAUGCGAAUUCACCUGAUUUUAAAAUAGGUAACAUCCCGCCCAAUAUUUUCUCCUCUCCCUCCCCUGGGGACGUGGAAGUGAAGAUUCAGGCACAGCUAACCCAAUUGGAGGGAGUUCUAAGCAGAGUACAGCACAGUCUAGAUAAGGAAUCAGUUGGGAGUUUCUGGAAUCUCAAAUGGAAGAGAGGGAGGCAGUCAGAGAGCAGGGCGUGGGCAGACAAGGACUCGCCCUGUCCUAACAUUACUCAGUCUGAAUUCUCUUCUCUCGCACCUUGCUUCAUAUGCCUAACCUGACACCGUACAUCUGCUUGGUCUUUGCUCAACUCAGCUGCAGCAUCCUCGGGAGACAGCUGGAUCAGCCAGAGAGCUUCAGAAAGACACACAUCACUCUGCCAGACACACACACUGCUCCAGCUCCAGCAUCCAACAUCUGACCACAUGUCGGCAGCCACUGCUGACCUGGCUCCACCAUUUCUCCCCAGGUCUAAGCUUAAGCCGCACUGCAUUGCUUCCAUUUCUUCAUGCUUGCUCUGUUCCCUUCUACCACAGGGGCUUUGUGCAAGCUCAGCCUCAACAUGGAUCUUCCCCCUUCUUCACCUGGUCAACAGCCACUCAUUCUUCAACCUUAGUUCGAGCAUCAUCAACCUCCCCCGCUAUGUCAGUUCUCCCUGUUAGACACCCUGGCUGUUCCACAUAUCUUUUAUUCAAAGUAGUUACAUAUUAAAGCAUUCCAUUUGUGCAUACAAUUAUUGUAGAAUUACUUCCCAGCAGACAGAUGCUAUAGGAGGGAAGAGACCUUUUCUGCUUAAGUAUCUAGUGCAGUGCCUGGCCCUUAAUAGGUGCUCAACAAAAAUUUUUAAAUGAAUGCUUAAAUACCAUAUCAUGGGUCAUGUCUGGUUGCAAAAAGAUAUUCAUCAUAAUAAAAAUAAUAAACUAUAAUUAAAAUAUACUCAUCAUCAUAAAAAUAAAUGAACUAGGCAGAUACUGGUGUUAAAGGUAUCACUGCCUUUAUUGUGGGCCAUUUUAGGAUGCAAGGCACAGUAGGGGUAAACAAUUAAGAGAGACUUCUGUAGUCUAGGAAUACAAGAGCUAGUAAAUAUAUAAUGUCUCCAGCAAGAGAAAGGAGGACAAGCAAGUCGGAGCAAGCUGCCCACUGGGGUGGGAGAAGGGAAUGAUAAAAGGGAGGAUUGGAAAUAUACACCAAAAUGCACCAUUCAUACAACGUUUCUAUUCACAACUCAGAAUUCACUGAACAAAAAAUGACCAUUCUGUAUACGAUUCCAAUUAAAUGCAUUAUUGUUGUAUCUGAUUGUGCUAGUGCCUGUCGCUAAUCCAUGCCACAAUGAUUCAUGCUUUAAAAAAAAAAAAAAAAAAAGAAGCAAUUGGUUAUAACAGCCACCACAGUGCAUUUCUAGAUAAGAGCUCAGUGACUGUUAAGGGGCACCUGCGUAAGAGCUCCAUUAACAAUGCUAGGCAAGGAAGAAAACCCCAGGGCAGAUGCCAGACGGAGCAAGAGACAAACAUGCAUUUAUUUUCCGUUUACUCCAGAUAACUCAUUAAAUUUCAAGGAAACUUCAGAAUUUAAAACUCACAGCAAUGUAAAGAACAGGAGGGGCAUCUUCAAUGGAGAAGAUACUUCAUCAAAUUUGGAAAGUGAAAGCAAAGGGAAAGUCUGACUAAAAUAACAUAGAGCAAGCUAUACCCUGGACUUCCUGCAAAGGGGGCUUCAGUGAGGGAGGGGCCCAUCUGCCUACAGAACUCAAGCAGGCACUGGCCUCAGGAGCCCCAGAUAACAGCCAGCUCCUGGACUUUUUAUUCCAGAAUGAACUCUACCAGUUGGAUCUUCCAGGCAAGCUUUUUAUCCUGUUCAUGCUAAAUAAAAACAACCACAAAGUGCCAGGCAUUUGAGGAAACCCUGCAAUGUGAAAGAGGAAAAAUAACAAACAGGGGAAACAAUUCCAGAAUAAAUAAAAAUAAUGAAGGGAAUAGAAGAGAAAUUACUAGGAAAAAAAAUUCCCAGAUCAGAAGCUCAGAUUUGGGUUGCUAUUUCAUUCAUAAAACAAAAACAGAAUAAUGCUGUAAAGAAGAAAUAAUUAGAGAACAAAAAAAGAAGUUUGAAAAGUAAACAAUUUGGAUUAUGAAAAUAAUAACAAUAGAAAGUGAAAUUUAUAAAAUCUGCCAAAUCACAGACCAAAAAAGUCGGGCAAUAGAAGAUAAAAGAGAUAGAGAACCACUCCUUGCGUCCUUAGCCACCACCCUUUGCUUGUUUUUCCAUUUUCCUUUCAUCUCUCGGAAUAUCUCAUCAGCUGAUAUCUAUUAGAGGAGAAGGGAAUUGUCCCCCAAGAGACUAAGUUCUGAGCAGAUGAAUGAAAAACGGCUACCUCAAGGCACAUCAGUGUGAAGUUUCAGAACACAAAGAGUUAGCAGAAGAUCCUAAAAGCUUCCAGUAGGAAAAAAUAAGAUAAAAGCUCACCUACAAAGAAACCAAAGCCAGACAGGCGUAGAAGGAACAUUUGCUGCUAGAAGGUAAUGGAACAAUGUGUACAAAAUUCUGUGAGAACUGAACAUCAACCUCAAAUUCUAAAUUCAACCCAACUCAAAUGUAAAGCCAAAUUAGAGAUUAAGACAUGCAAGCAUUCAAAGUAUAUCUCCACACACCUGUAAUCCCAGUACUUUGGGAGGCAGAGGCAGGCAGAUCACUU